rnacentral:rRNA from 1 species
AGAGUUUGAUCCUGGCUCAGGACGAACGCUGGCGGCGUGCUUAACACAUGCAAGUCGAACGGAUCAUCAGGAUUUCGGUUUUGGUGGUGAGUGGCGAACGGGUGAGUAACACGUGAGUAACCUGCCCCGGACUCUGGGAUAACGACUCGAAAGGGUUGCUAAUACCGGAUAUUGAAUCUCUGUCGUGUGGUGGGGGUUUGAAAGUUUUUUCGGUUCGGGAUGGGCUCGCGGCCUAUCAGCUUGUUGGUGGGGUGAUGGCCUACCAUGGCUUCGACGGGUAGCCGGCCUGAGAGGGCGACCGGCCACACUGGGACUGAGAUACGGCCCAGACUCCUACGGGAGGCAGCAGUGGGGAAUAUUGCACAAUGGGCGAAAGCCUGAUGCAGCAACGCCGCGUGCGGGAUGACGGCCUUCGGGUUGUAAACCGCUUUCAGCAGGGACGAAGCGAAAAUGACGGUACCUGCAGAAGAAGCACCGGCUAACUACGUGCCAGCAGCCGCGGUAAUACGUAGGGUGCGAGCGUUGUCCGGAAUUAUUGGGCGUAAAGAGCUUGUAGGCGGUUCGUUGCGUCGGAAGUGAAAACUCAGGGCUUAACCCUGAGCCUGCUUUCGAUACGGGCAGACUUGAGGGAUGUAGGGGAGAACGGAAUUCCUGGUGGAGCGGUGGAAUGCGCAGAUAUCAGGAGGAACACCAGUGGCGAAGGCGGUUCUCUGGACAUUAACUGACGCUGAGGAGCGAAAGCGUGGGGAGCAAACAGGCUUAGAUACCCUGGUAGUCCACGCCGUAAACGGUGGGCACUAGGUGUGGGAUCCAUUCCACGGGUUCCGUGCCGUAGCUAACGCAUUAAGUGCCCCGCCUGGGGAGUACGGCCGCAAGGCUAAAACUCAA